rnacentral:rRNA from 1 species
UUGAACGCUGGCGGCAGGCCUAACACAUGCAAGUCGAGCGGAUGAAGGGAGCUUGCUCCUGGAUUCAGCGGCGGACGGGUGAGUAAUGCCUAGGAAUCUGCCUGGUAGUGGGGGAUAACGUCCGGAAACGGGCGCUAAUACCGCAUACGUCCUGAGGGAGAAAGUGGGGGAUCUUCGGACCUCACGCUAUCAGAUGAGCCUAGGUCGGAUUAGCUAGUUGGUGGGGUAAAGGCCUACCAAGGCGACGAUCCGUAACUGGUCUGAGAGGAUGAUCAGUCACACUGGAACUGAGACACGGUCCAGACUCCUACGGGAGGCAGCAGUGGGGAAUAUUGGACAAUGGGCGAAGGCCUGAUCCAGCCAUGCCGCGUGUGUGAAGAAGGUCUUCGGAUUGUAAAGCACUUUAAGUUGGGAGGAAGGGCAGUAAGUUAAUACCUUGCUGUUUCGACGUUACCAACAGAAUAAGCACCGGCUAACUUCGUG